rnacentral:rRNA from 1 species
GAUGAACGCUGGCGGCGUGCCUAAUACAUGCAAGUCGAGCGAACGGACGAGAAGCUUGCUUCUCUGAUGUUAGCGGCGGACGGGUGAGUAACACGUGGAUAACCUACCUAUAAGACUGGGAUAACUUCGGGAAACCGUAGCUAAUACCGGAUAAUAUUUUGAACCGCAUGGUUCAAAAGUGAAAGGCGGUCUUGCUGUCACUUAUAGAUGGAUCCGCGCUGCAUUAGCUAGUUGGUAAGGUAACGGCUUACCAAGGCAACGAUGCAUAGCCGACCUGAGAGGGUGGUCGGCCACACUGGAACUGAGACACGGUCCAGACUCCUACGGGAGGCAGCAGUAGGGAAUCUUCCGCAAUGGGCGAAAGCCUGACGGAGCAACGCCGCGUGAGUGAUGAAGGUCUUCGGAUCGUAAAACUCUGUUAUUAGGGAAGAACAUAUGUGUAAGUAACUGUGCACAUCUUGACGGUACCUAAUCAGAAAGCCACGGCUAACUACGUG